rnacentral:rRNA from 1 species
CCUACGGGGGGCAGCAGUGGGGAAUAUUGCUCAAUGGGGGAAACCCUGAUGCAGCGACGCCGCGUGAGCGAUGAAGUAUUUCGGUAUGUAAAGCUCUAUCAGCAGGGAAGAAAAUGACGGUACCUGACUAAUAAGCCCCUGCUAACUACGUGCCAGCCGCCGCGGUAAGACGUAGGGGGCAAGCUUUAUCCGGAUUUACUGGGGUUAUAGGGAGCGUAGACGGUGGUGUAAGCCAGAUGUGAAAGCCCGGGGCUCAACCCCGGGACUGCAGGUGGAACUGUGUGGCUGGAGUGUCGGAGAGGCAGGCGGAAUUCCUAGUGUAGCGGUGAAAUGCGUAGAUAUUAGGAGGAACACCAGUGGCGAAGGCGGCAUGCUGGCCGAUGACUGACGUUGAGGCACGAAAGCGUGGGGAGCAAACAGGAUUAGAUACCCCUGUAGUC